rnacentral:rRNA from 1 species
UGAACGCUAGCGGCAGGCUUAACACAUGCAAGUCGAGGGGUAGAAGCAGCUUGCUGCUUUGAGACCGGCGCACGGGUGCGUAACGCGUAUGCAAUCUACCUUUUACAGAGGGAUAGCCCAGAGAAAUUUGGAUUAAUACCUCAUAGUAUGUGAGAAUCGCAUGGUUUUCACAUUAAAGUUCCAACGGUAAAAGAUGAGCAUGCGUCCCAUUAGCUAGAUGGUAAGGUAACGGCUUACCAUGGCGACGAUGGGUAGGGGUCCUGAGAGGGAGAUCCCCCACACUGGUACUGAGACACGGACCAGACUCCUACGGGAGGCAGCAGUGGGGAAUUUUGGACAAUGGGGGCAACCCUGAUCCAGCAAUGCCGCGUGAGUGAAGAAGGCCUUCGGGUUGUAAAGCUCUUUUGUCAGGGAAGAAACAGCAGCUCUAACACAGUCUGCGAAUGACGGUACCUGAAGAAUAAGCACCGGCUAACUACGUG